UUGACGGCUCAUACAUUCACAGCUUUUACAGACGCUUUUUUAUUUGGUACAAAAUCAUUGCUUCUGUAAAUUUGAAAACUGCUUUUAAGGACGUUUCUUGUAAAAAAAAAAAUUUGUCGGCUUUAUUUGUGGUUUCUUCUAUGACCCAACUAGCAUUACAAGAAGGAAAACUACUAGAAGGGCAUCCCCAUCUACUGCAACUGAUACCUUUUCCUAGAAUCUGGAUAUGAAGUUUGUUCAUUGUUUUUUUUGUAAAAAGAAGAAGAGAUAAGUGGUUCUGAGGACAUCCUUGAGGAUUUCACAAUUGAGGUUAAGAACUGUAAUCGAGUUUCAAAGAGAUGACAAUUGACUAUGCUUUUAUUUGUAGAUUUGGCGAGGGUUUUCACUUUACUCUCCACCCUUUCUUAAAUGAGGUUUUAAACCUUUAUGGCUUAAACCUUAAUUAGUUAUUGCCCAAGGGUUAGGUCAACCUUGUAACUUACUUUAUUAGGUGUUGUGAAUGGAAAUGGAGUCUUUCUAUCAAA